UCGCUGCCGUACAUACGUACCUAAAUAUUUUAUUGUAUUUCAUGAUUAAUGCUGCAGUUUAGUAUUACGUAUGUAGUGUAAUCUAAGAAAAUAUGUACAUACAUACCAGAGGCCUGCACGAUUAAGGACUCUGCUGCAGAUCACUGGUUGGAACACAAAAAUGUGGAAAUAAGCUUCCCAAAUGCAACAGAGCACUAUAACACAAUUAAAAUGGGUUUCCAUAAUAAGUUUGGAAUAAAAGGAGUGAUUGGUGCUAUUGACUGCACCCAUGUUGCUAUAAUAGGAACGUCUUCGUCGUCUAACGUUAUUCCACAUGAAUAUAUGAACCGAAAGGGUUACUACAGUAUUAACGUAGAAGCGAUUUGUAACGACAAAUUUAGUUUUCGCCAUUUAAAUGCUCGUUUUCCUGGCUAGUGCCAUGACACCGGAAUUUCGAGAGCAUCGCCGGCCAGAAUAAAAUUAUUAAGGGAACAUUUUUCUGGUUCAUUUAAGUGGCUUCUAGGUGACUCCGGAUAUCCACUAGAGCCAUGGCUUUUGACUCCUAUGUCAAACCCAUCUGCACCAAUUAAAGUUCUUUAUAACAGGAACAUAAUUAAAAGAGCCUUUAGUGUUUUAAAGUCUAAUUUCCGUUGCUUAUCUAAAGAGCGAGUACUGAGGUAUACACCCUCAAACGCCGCGUUUUUAGUUUAUACUUGUUCAAUUUUCCACAACAUUUUGCAAGAACAUGGUAUUUGUGACUUCGAUGAAAUCGACAUUGAAAACUUUGAGGACUCUUCCUUCCAUGAUAAUUUUCCAGCUCAAACAAAUCAGUAUUACACUGCAGGAAUAAAUGCACGACGUAACUGCUUAAAUUCUCUCACACAAUCUUUGUAAAUAAAUAUCUUUACAAAUAAAUCUUUCAUUUAUAUUUUCAUAAAAAAAAAAAUUAUUCAGUCUUCUUUU